CCCCCCAAAAGGAGUUUUUCCACAUAGAAAACCUUAGCGCCUCUGUCUGAGGGCAAAGACAAAAUGGGAAUAAAUGUGUCAUGGAAAAAAUGAGAAGCUGCUGCUUUUGCUCAGAUGGAUUGACUUUAGACUGUGUCUUACACCAGAGUCCUGAUGGCAUUGGGAUAAUCCCUAACCCUUUCACAUAUACAAAAAGUAUUGCCUGGCAAACAGGACGACCAGAACAGGCAGAGGUAUCCAGAGCAAGAGAGACAUGGCCCAGCAGGAGGCUACAGAGGGACGCACAAGGACUGGCAAUGUGUCCGUCCGGCACAGCACCCUGGAGGUCCCCCUUGCAGCACUGCCCACAUGGCUGUGGUCCCCAUCACCUACAGAGCUGCUGCAAGAAGAAACCAAGCCUUAUCCAUGUUGUCUCUCCAGAGCCAUGAAUACAUCUCUGUACAUGGAGUACCUCAAAGUCUACUGGCUUGAAUGCAAACAGUAGCAUUGAAGCUGUGCCUUAAGGAACCGGUAGAACUUCUGAGAACAAACAAGGAAGAAAAGGACCAGAAACAAGAAGAGUUGAGAGCAAACACAGUCCAUUUUGCUGAUACAUGGGUCCUUGGAAGGAAAGGGACAUUUCAGAUUCAUUGUGAUCCUAUUACAGCCUUAGAGACUUAGCCUACAAUCAGUAGGAAAUAGCUGUGACUCACUGUUAAAACUAUGCAAGGACUUGAAAAAAAUUAAGGGCCGCUUGGGUGGUUCAGUUGGUUAAGUGUCUGCCUUCAGCUCAGGUCAUGUGCCUGGAGUCCUGCGAUCAAGUCCUAAUCAGGCUCCCCGGUCAGCUGGGAGCAUGCUUCUCCCUCUCCCUCUGCCAUCCCUGCCCCACUGUGUUCUCUGGCUCUCUCUAUCUCUCUGUCAAAUAAAUAAAAUAUUUUUUUUUUAAAUAAAAUAUUU
rnacentral:lncRNA from 12 species